rnacentral:rRNA from 1 species
AUUGAACGCUGGCGGCAUGCCUUACACAUGCAAGUCGAACGGUAACAGGUCUUCGGAUGCUGACGAGUGGCGAACGGGUGAGUAAUACAUCGGAACGUGCCCGAUCGUGGGGGAUAACGGAGCGAAAGCUUUGCUAAUACCGCAUAAGAUCUACGGAUGAAAGCAGGGGACCGCAAGGCCUUGCGCGAACGGAGCGGCCGAUGGCAGAUUAGGUAGUUGGUGGGAUAAAAGCUUACCAAGCCGACGAUCUGUAGCUGGUCUGAGAGGACGACCAGCCACACUGGGACUGAGACACGGCCCAGACUCCUACGGGAGGCAGCAGUGGGGAAUUUUGGACAAUGGGCGCAAGCCUGAUCCAGCCAUGCCGCGUGCAGGAUGAAGGCCUUCGGGUUGUAAACUGCUUUUGUACGGAACGAAAAGACUCUUUCUAAUAAAGAGAGUCCAUGACGGUACCGUAAGAAUAAGCACCGGCUAACUACGUGCCAGCAGCCGCAGUAAGAC